rnacentral:rRNA from 1 species
AGAGCGAACGCUGGCGGCAGGCCUAACACAUGCAAGUCGAGCGCCGUAGCAAUACGGAGCGGCAGACGGGAGAGUAACACGUGGGAACGUGCCCUUCAGUUCGGAACAACCCAGGGAAACUUGGGCUAAAUACCGGAUACGUCCGUAAGGAGAAAGAUUUAUCGCUGAAGGAUCGGCCCGCGUCUGAUUAGCUAGUUGGUGAGGUAACGGCUCACCAAGGCGACGAUCAGUAGCUGGUCUGAGAGGAUGAUCAGCCUCACUGGGACUGAGACACGGCCCAGACUCCUACGGGAGGCAGCAGUGGGGAAUAUUGGACAAUGGGCGCAAGCCUGAUCCAGCCAUGCCGCGUGGGUGAUGAAGGCCCUAGGGUUGUAAAGCCCUUUCGGCGGGAAGAUAAUGACGGUACCCGCAGAAGAAGCCCCGGCUAACUUCGCGCCAGCAGCCGC